AUUGAACGCUGGCGGCAGGCCUAACACAUGCAAGUCGAGCGGAUGAAGGGAGCUUGCUCCUGGAAUCAGCGGCGGACGGGUGAGUAAUGCCUAGGAAUCUGCCUGGUAGUGGGGGAUAACGUCCGGAAACGGGCGCUAAUACCGCAUACGUCCUGAGGGAGAAAGUGGGGGAUCUUCGGACCUCACGCUAUCAGAUGAGCCUAGGUCGGAUUAGCUAGUUGGUGGGGUAAAGGCCUACCAAGGCGACGAUCCGUAACUGGUCUGAGAGGAUGAUCAGUCACACUGGAACUGAGACACGGUCCAGACUCCUACGGGAGGCAGCAGUGGGGAAUAUUGGACAAUGGGCGAAAGCCUGAUCCAGCCAUGCCGCGUGUGUGAAGAAGGUCUUCGGAUUGAAAAGCACUUUAAGUUGGGAGGAAGGGCAGUAAGUUAAUACCUUGCUGUUUUGACGUUACCAACAGAAUAAGCACCGGCUAACUUCGUG
rnacentral:rRNA from 1 species